rnacentral:lncRNA from 1 species
AGACAUGAAAAAAAAAGAUAAUUCACUGUAUAGCACUUUUACCUAACAGAUGUAUAGACGACGUCAAUAAUACAUAAUAAUACUAUUCUGCCCUUUCUCUUUCACAGGCUAACCUGCUACAAUUAAAAAAAAAAUUAUAACUCUUACUGUCCAAAGUAAAUCGUGUAUUCUCCCAUUCCACACACCUUCUCCUUCUCGCUUUCUUCGUCGGUUCUCUCUGGAAUUCCAAACGACCCUGC